GGCCAUAUGGGAAUCCAGUGCCUUAACCUCCACGCCAUCCUCUGGCCCUCCAAAAUUCAAAAUUUUAAAUAAAUAUAGGCCCUGCGCAUGCACGGGCUGGCCUCGCUUCCCUUGCCCUGAUCCUGCCCUAUCACAGGUUUGUGAAAUGGGCCGCAGACAGCCGCAGACCACUGGAUCUACUGGAACCUCGGGAAGGAAGCGCUCCCGGGGACCGACAGAGAGGGACUGGGUACUCGAGAGCUGACACAACCUGCAGCCUCUUCGUCUGACAUCCUUCCCAAGGGGUCAGCGCUUCUGUCCCUGACGUCAGUAACCAAUGGCAAACAGCUGUUCUUCAAACACCCAAAUAUUUACUGAGCAAAUACUGACAUAUUUGGCACAGAGCUGGGAACAGCAAGAAAAAGCUCCACCCCACACCCAUCAGGCUCAGGAGGAUGGUAGAAUGUGCUGGAAUAAACCCCCGACAAGCCUGUUCCUUCGCCUGGCUUAUCCAGUUAGAAAGCCACCAACUCUGGGGGCCCAGGAAGCUGCUUCCAAGGCAGAAACUGUUCUAUCGAGCUCUGCUCAGUCACCAGAGAGAAAGCAGAAUUUUUGUUUUUGAUGCCAGAGGUGAGAGAGAGCGAGCGAAAGCACACCACCACCACGGGGCCUGCUCACACCUCACGCGAGCCCUUCUCCUCCAGUUCUCCUUCCAGUCAGGACUGCAAAUGCCCAGCAUGCCUUUCCAGCCAACGGGGCCCAGAGUCAAACCCUGGUGGGCCAUGUGGGCUUCAGCUCCUCCUGCACGGCACCUAACCACUGUGCCCCAGGGCAGUUCCCGCAUAACGGCAGCACCCCACGCUGAGCAGUGGACGCGGAGGUGCUUCAGGCAACACCAAAGAUCUACAGUCUACAGGUGCACCAGGGCCAGCCGCACCUUUUACCAAGCGACAGUCUUAGAGGGAGACGAGUUCUCAUGACUGCUCAGCUAAGGCCGUUGUGGGCGCCCCUCUUACAGUGGCUAAGGACACGGAAGGCUGGGCAGCCUGGGUGACUGUGGCAGGGAUGGCCACACGGAGCUGAUCUUCCCCAUGGCGGGGGUGCAGCUCUGACUGCAGGGGGACACAGCAGUCACAUGCAUGGAGAAGACUUCAAGUCAGUGAGCAAAUGCUGACUCUGAUGGGGCCUGGGUCAGAGGGUGCUGAACGUCAGUCUAAGGGAUUCAGACUGCACGCUGAAAGGGAAGGGAAGGGAAGAAGGGGCAAAGCCAUUUCCAUGGCAAAUUUGAGGGGGCCUCAUGGCAAGACGGCUGGGGGGUGGAGUGGGGUGGGAGUUGGGGGUACAUGCCCUCCAGCCUCCAUCCCUCAUUGGCUGUUCUUUCCCGGGGGUUUCUCAGUCUCUGGUUCUGGCUGGGUAACCAGGCACAUAGCCGCCGCUCAGGGUAAGAGAGAAAGUGCCUGAGUGGAGCAGAGCCAGACACUCGAAUGUGGGCGCUCCUCCUCCAGCUGAACCGGGCUCUUGGCUGGAGGGUCCUGGGUCUGUAGGAUGCCACCGUCUAUGAAGGUGAAAAUGCAGCAGGUUUCUGAGAGUAUUGCAGGCUGUCGCUUGGUAAAAGGUGCGGCUGGCCCUGGUGCACCUGUAGACUGUGGAUCUUUGGUGUUAUCUGAAGCACCUAGUGGGGAGGGAAAUCCCAGGAAGUGUCCAUAACUUUCAUAGGAUUCUCAGGUGAGUCCAUGACCAGAUAAAGAACCCCUGCCGACAGUGCAGGGAAACUACUGAGGAAAUGAUAAUGGAAUGAGGGUGAGAACAAGUGCCAGUUCCCGUCCGUGUGUUUUGCAUGCGUCGUUCCUAACCCUCGCAGCAAACCUGCAGGAAAUGCCAACCUUUCUGCAACCCGCAGCUUCUGCACACAAGCCCAGACCCGAAUACGCUGGACAGCGUCGCAGUAAGGUCCCGAACUCCGUCCCUACCCUCCUGCGGGCCGACGGGUGCCAACACACCCAGGACUUCAACUUCUUUAGCCUUCAAUCCAGGCUAACGAAAUCUGCCUGUGACGAGAGGCGCACCAGGUCGGGGCCUGGCAUACCGAGGCGCUCAAGGGCGCCCACAGGAGUGGUCUAGAGGGCUUCCAAACUUCCUUCUCAGGGUUCUCUCCCCGCCACCC